AUUACUUAUAGACUAACCCAAUAUUUGUAUUGACUAUUAGUAAAGAAAAUAAAAUAAUUAAUAAAAAUAAUGUGCGAUGUGUUAUAAAAAUAAUAAAACAAUUGCUUUCAGUGUUAUUUAUUAGAGUCAAGAAUAAACUAUCGUCGGUACUAUUCUCACAAAAGAAAAUUCAGCUUCCUUAUCAUCUAAACCAAGGCAAUUCGGAAAAUAUUGAAGCCACUGCAUCUUCCUGAGAUUCUAGUGUACUUCCUUUAAGUCAUUUUUCCGCGUUACGUUUAUUUUCGGAAAUAAAUUGUACGGAUUGAUCAAAAUGAAAGACGCUGUAUAUCUCAUAAUACUCUACGAAUAGGAGAGUAAACGUGGAAGAAGACGAUAGAGAAACUGGCUUUUCUUUUUUGAUUUUCAAGACGCCUUCGAAAGAAGCUUGAAUAAUCGUUAAGGAUUUACUUUUGUUGAAAUUUACUUUCUAACUAAUUUUAUAAUACUUUUCUUCGUCUCGAGAAAAGAAAAAGAAGAAGAAAAGAGUUCAUUGAAAAUUAUAACGAGACUAUAUAGUUAUUCAAGAUUCGGUAAAUUUUUGAAUUCACCUUGACUUCCAUAGCUUUACGAAAGAACUGAGGUAUCACAAAACCAAUCGAAACUCGUUUCGGUAGUCGUAGAAUAGUGGCUAAGUGUAGUCUCUUAUCUCAUUUUCGUGAUGCAGCUUCUGGCAGAGCCUUCGCUUUUACACGGAUUUCAAGAAUUAUUCAAAAUCUGGUGCGCGUCUCCGGAACUCUUCGAUUAAUAUGUAAAUUUUCUUCGCUUCUGCGUCAUUUAAAUGAUUCGCUUAUAGUGGAAAAUUAAAGCAGUUCUUCCAUCGAUAUUUCUCUCUCUCUCUCUCUCUCUCUCUCUCUCUCUCUUUCUUUCUUUCUAUCUUUUUUCAAUACAAUUUCGAAAAAGGAAUAAGAACAAAAAAAGCAAGCUCGGAAUCUAAAAACGCAAAUCAAAUUUUCUUUUUCUCUAUCUUUUACUUCAUGAAAACACGUACGUACUGUAAUUUUGUGAAUACGUGAGAAAAAGAGAGGAAGAAAAUUCGUUAUCGUUUGGUAGUGUAUUCGUUUCGAGUUCACGUGACAAUUAUAUUAGAUAUAAAGAAAAUUUUCGCAAAUCGUACUUCGUUUCAGUCAUUGUAUUAAAUUAAAAUGUUCGAUAUUUUUGACUUUCUUUACUCUUUUCCUAUUCUUGCUUAAAUUAAUUAUUAGGCUGCUCUCUCAAGGCAAUGAUUACGAUAUCGAUUUUCUUCUCUUUCUUUCAUUUUUCUCUUAUUUAUCAUUUCACAUUUAUCCUUUUCCAAACUAUAUAUAAUAUUAAUGUAUUGAAAUUAGAAAAUUUAUCAUAGUACGAGCCAAUUCGGUAGAUUACAUUUCAAUAUGAUCUACUCUGAGUUACGGUAGGUAGUAAGCCGUGUUGUAAUCAGCAUCAAAUCGCAAUUCGAACUCUGAUCGCAUUUAAUCCGAUCUGAGAAUUAUUACUUGCUCAAUGAGUAAUGAUCUUUGGUGGUCUUUUUUCUCCUUUCUUGUUUCUUUCUAUCAAUAUUUUAUCAAAACACCAUUAUUUUUACGUGUAUUCUCUUUCUCUCAAUUUUUUUUCGUCUUGUUUCAUGCAAAACGCACGUCAUAGCCGCUGAGUCCGAUUUCCGAUAAAACGAAAUAUACGACUUGAUAAAGAUACGAUCGCAAUCUCCUGUCGUGGAUGAGCAUAUUUUUGUUAACUAUUCUUGAAAACAUUUUUAUUCUUUUUAAAUAUCCCCGUGUAGAUAUUAUAAUUUUGAUUUAUUUUAAUACAUGCAGAAGAACGUGAAAAUAAAUUUAUGAAAAUUCAUUAGCGAUGCAUCAGCAUUCUGUUUUUUUUUUUGAGAUAAUCAGUAAACAUCCUAUAACUUACUAUGCGGAAAAAUAAAAAGCAAAUAUUUAUAUUUUUCUAUAUUUAUAUAAUACUGAUUGCGAAUAAACAAGUUUAGCUGGUUCCGUAUUUUAUUUAUUUUCAAAUUAAUCUUUAAAUUCGCAAUAUGAUGCAACGUAUACUCGAUUAUUCUUAACCUCCGCUGAGUGGUUAGCACGUGGCUCGAAGUUGACGCAUCGUUGCUCCUGCGUUGGUCGUGGCGCCGCGUUAUACUUCUUUCCCGGACAACUCGUACUGCUUGUCGUUUUGCGUCAAACGAUCUCGAAGAACGAUGAAUCGCGCGAGAUCAUUGGAUAGAUUACAUUACCUUGUUUUCUUGGGAACACAUAAUGUAGUCUUUUUUUUCACUUCUUUACGUCAUAUUGUCUGUGAGCGUAUUUUUGCUACUUCUCGAGUACUCGAGUCCAUUAAUUUCGUGAAAACCCAUCGCACUUUUUUUCUUCAGAAAAAAUAUCACGAAUACGGAAUGAUGAUAGAGUCAUGUUUGUCACUAAUGCAAUAUUUGUUAUGAAAUUUCGUAUUACUACAAGAUACUGUCCAUUAUAAUUUUAAUCGAUUUGAUGUAUCAUCGUAAAAAGUAAAAGAGAAAUAAUAAGAAUUACACGUUGAAGUAUAGAAAACGUUCAAAUAUCUCGAACAUUUCUAUAAUCUCGGUGGAGAGCGAAUAUCGCAUAUCACCUGGCAGAAUUAUUCAUUAUAAAUAAAAUCGAACCUUCGAAAAGUGUGCUCCUGACGAUUGAUUGAUAAUAUAAUCCUCCCGUGAAUAUCCAAGAGCGAACGAAUUUUCAAACUAAUAUCCGGAUAUAGCCUAUACGACCGAGAGUAUCGACUGAUCAUUUCGAAAUAUGAAUCCGUGAUGCAAAUCACAUACACUCAACACGAAAUAUUCUUUACGUUGUCUUUACAAUACGAGAAAAUAUUUUGCAAAUAUUACAUUAUUAUAUUGAAAAUAUUACAUUAACGAUUUAAUUAACGUUCAAUAUUUAUUGCCAAUAGUGUUAAUAAAGACGUAGCAUUUUGUCAUAUAUAUUUUUCUAAUUACCCAAACGAAACGACUCAUUAGAUCGAUUCUUUUCCGAAACGUGUUUCGUUACAAAUAUUUUUAAAGUCGUAUCUUUAUCGCAUAAAAUUGAGAAUAAUAAUAUCAAGGAUAAUGAUAAUAUUGAAUUAUAAAUUUGAGAAUUAAUAUUCAAAUGUGACGAGUUAAUAAAUGAAAUAAGAAAGCGAUAACGUUCGUGCAACGAAAAAAGAUUUAAGUAAACGUUUUUCCUUUCUUUUUCUCGAUCAAAUAACGUACGCUCAAGACUGUAGGGUGUGCAAAGUCGACGUCGACUAGGUCAAGCUUGCUUAAAGCCGCUCGCCAAUGGGACCUUUCACCUCCUGGCGCUCACGGCUAGGGAGAUUAAUUAAAAAGUUUGAAGAGAGAUGCCGAGAAAGUUUGGAGAGUCGCUUGAUCGUCGACGAAAAAGUCGACGAGCUUUGCUUCGCAAGACUUGUCCAGGCUAUGUUACGUGUGUCAGGGUUGAAAGUAUCUACGAACCACUUUGGCUCUGCUUCCAACACUGCUUCUCUUUACCUUCGUAACGAGCUUCGCGAGUCGUUUCUAUGUCGCAUACAUUUUCUCGGAUUAUACUAGCACCAUAUAGAAACUCGAGUCACAGAUCGGUUUCUUAUACUUGGCCACUCUUGCUGCUAGCUACUAUGGUUGUUGAAGAAGAAAGGAAAAGGAGAAAGAAGAGCAGGAGGAGAACGGAUCUUAUAAUUUUGUACUGACGCUGCAAACGGGCAAAAUUGCGUACAUAGGACGUUAAGAGAGCGUUGGCUUUACAAUGCAAAUCCACUCGAACGUUUCUGACGGAAAUGAGAUGGUGAAAACACUGUAGUCUAUAAGAAACAGAGAGAGAGAGAGAGAGAGGGAGAGAGAGAGAGAGGGAGAGAGAGAGAGAGGAGAAGUUUAUCAAACUAGGGUAUAAACUCUUGUAAAUAUACUAUCGCAUAGUAUGGAGUAUAAUACGUGACGAAAACUAUCACUGUAACAACGUUGAAUGACGAAAAUUGUCAACUCAAAGAUAAAAUGAAAAUGAAGAUUGAAAGGAGUCGUUCUUUUCUCGAACAAGCUUUCAACUUAUCGAGCAAAAAAUCUAUUUAAAGCAGAGAUCGAAACUUUCUUCUCGUCGAAUGACCCUGAAAUAUUGGGCAAAGAUAAAGAUAGAGAUAGAGGGAGAGAGACAGACAGAGAGAGAGAGAGAGAGGGAGAGAGAGGAGAGAGAGAGAGAAAGAGAAAGAGAGAUAGAGAGAAAGAGAGAGGAAGUGGGAUGCUCGAUCGUAAAAAACUUUGAUACGUUUCAUGUCUGACAGAUUAUCCAGCUUACCGCGUUGCGCAUUAGAGACGUUUUUGAUAACACCAGAUGCUCGCAUAUGCUUCGCUUUUUCUCCUUGCUCGGCGGCGAAACUUUUCGCAGGAGUCUCGUUCGAAACUUUCUAGCCGUUAUACCGAAGCAAUGUUUCAUUUUUUUUCCAUAAGGAGAAAGAAAAAGAUAGAGAUAAAAAUAGAUAGAUAGAUAGAGAGAAAGAGAGAGAGAGAGAGAGAGAGAGAGAGAGAGAGAGAGAGAGAGAGAGAGAAGGAACUAUAUUGAUGAUGCUUGUUGAAAAAGUUAAGACAUCCAACGUUUCAUUAAUUCUUUUCUUCUUAUUAAUUCUAACCCUGUCAAUUUUAAUCACGAUCUUAACUUAAGCUAAUAUUCUGUUUAUUAUAUUUAAAUAAGUAAUUACAUUUAUAUUCUUUUUGAAAUAUGAUUGGUAUGUGCAUUCAUACAUACAAAAUAUAAUAUCUUGCAAGAAAUUUUGCUAUGAAACUUGACUAUGUAAGCAAAUUCAACGAAUUUUGACGCAUCAUGAAAACCGAUACGUUGAUAUACGGCUAUCUUAUACCGUCGUUGAAAUUUGUCGACAUUUCGUGAUAUCAGACUGAUACCAAUCAUACCUUGCUAUGGCAACUACUCCGUCAAUGUUUAUACUUAUAAAAUAUAAUAUAAUAUAAAAUCAUUGAUGAAAAUUUCGUCGCUUUUAAAAAGCACAAAGAAAAACAUAAAUAAGGCACACGUUUGAUUCUAGUUCAUUUAUUUGACAUAUCUAUAUUUUUUUUUUCAUUAACUAUAUUCUUUGUAAAAGUAGAAAAAGAAAAUGGGUCAUUCUCGAGUAAAUAAGCUAUACAGUUUCUAAUGCUAAUGGCUAAUAUCCAGACAUUUUUUGUACAAUUCUGAUCGAAUGACAUCAGCGAUUAUAACAAUGAGAUCUCAAAUAUCCGUAAAUGUUUUCGUAUGCUAUCACACGCAUACUGUCAGCUACAAUAUCGAAAUCAAGAUAUUCGAAACCAUUUAAAUGCGCUUUCACCAAAGUUAUAAAUUUAAUGUUUAUUCAUUUUGACACUUAAUAUUAUUAUCAGUAAUAUUAUUACAUUUUUCACAUUCGCGAACAAUCAAGGACUUUUUCUGUAUCUUCGUGCGUGAUUAAUAAUAAAGAUUCUGUAAUCAUUAUCUUUUUUGUGAAGAUAUUAUUAUAAUAUUGCUAUCGCAAAUUGGAUCAAAUCGCAAUAAAAAAAAACUAGCUCUUAUAUAUCAUAUAUUUUUUUAUAAAUCUCGAUAAAUGCAGUAUUCGAGAAAUAACAGAAGAGGAAAAGACAGAUAGCAUUAGAUAAAGAUAAAGGAGUAAAAAAAGGAGAAACAAGAGAGAGAAAAAGAAUGAGAGAGAGAGAGAGAGAGAGAUCGAUACAUGAUUUAUUAACGUCGAUAGAGCACGCACGUGCUCUGUGACAUUCAUUAACUCGACCAACACUAACUUCGGUAUAAAUAGGCAUUUGGCAUCGUUAACUUCGACAAUUUGCUCUGUGAUUAUUUGAGCCGGCCAGAGGAAAUUUACGUCCUCUCGUUUCUCGACGGUCCAAACCGAAGACUAAUUUUAAGAUCUUCUAAGAACCUACGACUAAUUCUAAGACCUUUCUUACGUGAAUAAUAUUAGUUUGAUUUAUCGAAUGAAAAUUUGAUUUCGCCGUGGAAUUUAUUACGCGAUGCGUUCAUUUUUUGUUAGCGUGGUCUCAUGUGCGAGGUAAGGAAAGUAAAAAAAAAGGAGAAACAGAAAAGAAGAGAAAAGAGAAAAAUCAAGAAAAAUUUUUCAGAGAAUUAACAGCCGGAAGAAAUUUAACUCGAUCAUCACAGAGGAAAUUUUUGAAAAGAGCUUUUUUAUUUGACGAACUUUUCUUUCCUCGGAAAGUAUAUAGUCCGAAGUGUAUAGUCCGUAAGUAUAUAGUCCGAAAACUCUAUAAAAGUAAUGGUUUCGAACUAUGCGGAAAGCCAGAGCGCGUAUUAUUAAUUAUUCAGAAUAAAUAUGACAUUGUUUUUCAGUGUCCGGUAAUUUGUUCCGCUAAAAUAAUGUGAUAAACACGAAUAUAGAUGGAGUGUAAGAGCGAAAGAGAAAAAAAGAGGGGAGAGAGAAAGAGAAAGAGAGAGAGAGAGAGAGAGAGAGAGAGAGAAAAGGCUCGGAGAAAAUUAUGGCUGUGGAACGAUGUUUACGUGGCGAAAAAGCGUGAAUGGUGUGUCGAGUGCGAGCUCAUCCUGCAGACAUUUAAAAAAACGGAUAUCAUCGUAUAUAAUAACGUUAUCAUAAGCGUGCCUAUAAACACGAUUGGUUCGCGGUAUAGCAACACGAUGAAUUUUCCUUUCCUCUAUAUAAUAGCCGUAGAAGAUUUAUGUGAGAAUCUUCGCGAUAUGGUUACCAGCAAUAAAGAUAACCGAGUGAAACAAGUAACAACCAUGGUGUUAUCAGAUGUCGGACGUUCCACGCUAUUGUUACUGUGAGAAAUUGGAGCUGAUGUUUUCCAAGAUACAUUAUAUUUUUCAUAUGAUGUCAAUUAUCUGAAUUUAUUAUACAUAAGAGCAUAUUUUAAACAGGAAAUAGUUGUCUUGUUGAUGAUUUCACGUUGAAUAGAAAGAAGAAUGAUAUGCAACAACAAUGUCGAUAAAGAUCUUUGUUCUACAAUAGUAUAAAUUAAACACAUAAUGCAACCAUAGAAAUAAAUAAGUGCUCUAAAAAUAAUUUCAUUUUAAGAGGAUCGAAGUAAAAUGUAGCUAAUAACAGAAAAGAAGAUUUCUCUUUGAUUCUAAACAAUUGGCUGGUAUUACACAUUAUUAUUAUUUAGCUGACCGUUGUAAGCCCUAAUUCUCACCGAAUCUAUAUUAUAUAAUAAAGACGAUCCAUCAUUUUUCAUAUUUAA